rnacentral:misc_RNA from 1 species
AAGUCGUAACAAGGUUUCCGUAGGUGAACCUGCGGAAGGAUCAUUAUUGAAUACGUUUGGUUCUGAUGCUGGCUCUUCACUGAGCAUGUGCUCGAUCCAUAACUAUUUAUCUUCUCUUGUGCACCUUUUGUAGUCUUUCAGAGCAAGUGAUAACUCUCGCAGCAAUGCGGUUUGGGGGACUUGGGCGUGAGCCCUUCCCCUGCGUUUGCUUCUUUGGAGGGCUAUGUUUUCAUAUACACUAUAAAGUUACAGAAUGUCUUUUAAAGAUUGUGCUAGUCGCAGUCAUUAAACCUAUACAACUUUCAGCAACGGAUCUCUUGGCUCUCCCAUCGAUGAAGAACGCAGCGAAAUGCGAUAAGUAAUGUGAAUUGCAGAAUUCAGUGAAUCAUCGAAUCUUUGAACGCACCUUGCGCCCUUUGGUAUUCCGAAGGGCAUGCCUGUUUGAGUGUCAUUAAAUUCUCAACCCAAAAAGCUUUUACGAGCUCUUUUGUGGCUUGGAUGUGGGGGUUUUUGCUGGCUUCCUUCAGUGGAUGGUCUGCUCCCCUUAAAUGCAUUAGUGGGAUCUCUUGUGGACCGUCACUUGGUGUGAUAAUUAUCUAUGCCAGUUGACUUUGAAGCAAAACUUAUGGGAACCCGCUCAUAACCGUCUUCGGACAACUUAUUGACAUUUUGACCUCAAAUCAGGUAGGACUACCCGCUGAACUUAAGCAUAUCAAUAAGCGGAGGAAAAGAAACUAACAAGGAUUCCCCUAGUAACUGCGAGUGAAGCGGGAAAAGCUCAAAUUUAAAAUCUGGCGGUCCCUGUGGCCGUCCGAGUUGUAAUUUAGAGAA